GCGAAAAGUGGCGGCAGGCCUAACACAUGCAAGUCGAGCGGCAGCACGGGUACUUGUACCUGGUGGCUAACGGCGGACGGGUGAGUAAGGCCUAUGAAUCUGACUAGUAGUGGGGGAUAACGACCGGAUGCGGACGCUAAUUCCGAAUACGUCCUACGGGAGAAAGUGGGGGAUCUUCAGACCUCACGCUUUUACAUGAACCUGAGCCGGAUUAGCUAGUUGGUGAGGUAAUGGCUCACCCAGGCGACGAUCCAUAACUGGUCUGAGAGGAUGAUCAUUCACACUGGAACUGAAACACAGUCCAGACUCAUACCGGAGGCAGCAGUGGGGAAGGUUGAACAAUGGGCGAAAGCCUGAUCCAGCCAUGCCGCGUGUGUGAAGAAGGUCUUCGGAUUGUAAUGCACUUUAAGUUGGGAGGAAGGGCAGUUACCUAAUACGUGAUUGUUUUGACGUUACCGACAGAAUAAGCACCGGCUAACUCUGUGCCAGCAGCCGCGGUAAUACAGAGGGUGCAAGCGUUAAUGGAAAUUUCUGGGCGUAAAGCGCGCGUAGGUGGUUUAUUAAGUUUGAUGUAAAAAUCCCGGGCUCCACCUGAGAACUGCAUCCAAAAGUGGCAAGCUAGAGUAUGGUAGAGGGUGGUGGAAUUUCCUGUGUAGCCGUGAAAUGCGUAGAUAUUGGAGAGAACACCAGGGGCGAAGGGGGCCCCCUGGAAUGAUACUGACUGUGAGGUGGGAAAGCGUGGGGAACAAACAGGAUUAGAUCCCCUGGGAGUCCACCCCGUAAAAGAUGUCAACUAGCCGGUGGGAGCCUUGAGCUCUUAGUGGCGCAGGUAACGCAUUAAGUUGACCCCCUGGGGAGUACGGCCCCAAGGUUAAAACUCAAAUGAAUUGACGGGGGCCCGCCCAAGCGGUGGAGCAUUUGGUUUAAUUUGAAGCAACGGGAAGAACCUUCCCAGGCUUUGACAUUCAAGAAACUUUCUAAAAAUAGAUUGGGGCCUUUGGGAACAUUGAAACAGGUGCUGCAUGGCUUUUGUCAGUUUGGUUCUUGAAAUUUUGGGUUAAGUCCCCUAACGAGGCCAACCCUUUUCCUUAUUUACCAGCCGGUUAGGGUGGGCACUCUAAGGAGACUGCCGGUGACAAACCGGAGGAAGGUGGGGAUGACGUCAAGUCAUCAUGGCCCUUACGGCCUGGGCUACACACGUGCUACAAUGGUCGGUACAAAGGGUUGCCAACCCGCGAGGUCAAGCUAAUCCCAUAACCCCGAUCGUAGUCCGGAUCGCAGUCUGCAACUCGACUCCGUGAAGUCGGAAUCGCUAGUAAUCGAGAAUCAGAAUGUCGCGGUGAAUACGUUCCCGGGCCUUGUACACACCGCCCGUCACACCAUGGGAGUGGGUUGCACCAGAAGCAGGUAGUCUAACCUUCGGGAGGGCGGUACCACGGUGGAUUCAGGUUGG
rnacentral:rRNA from 1 species